CCCUUAGAUGUUCUGGGCUGCACGCGCGCUACACUGAAGCGUUCAACGAGUAUUCACCUUGCCCGGGAGGGUUGGGUAAUCUUUUGAAAACGCUUCGUGAUGGGGAUAGAUUAUUGCAAUUAUUAAUCUUCAACGAGGAAUUCCUAGUAAGCGCGAGUCAUCAGCUCGUGCUGAUUACGUCCCUGCCCUUUGUACACACCGCCCGUCGCUCCUACCGAUUGUGUGAUCCGGUGAAUAAUUCGGACUGCAGCACUGCUUGGUCUCCAGGCUUUGCAGCGGAAAGUUUAGUGAACCUUAUCACUUAGAGGAAGGAGAANUCGUAACA
rnacentral:rRNA from 1 species